AGAGAUGUGUGAUGACGCAUAUCAAUAAGCGGAGGAAAAGAAACUAACUAAGGAUUCCCUCAGUAACGGCGAGUGAAGCGGGAAGAGCUCAAAUUUGUAAUCUUCAAGGUUCUACCUUGACGAAUUGUAGUUUAUAGAAGUGUUUUCUGUUAGUAGAGUGGCAAAAGUUCUUUGGAAUAGGACAUCAUAGAGGGUGAGAAUCCCGUAUUUGGUCAUUCUUCUAGCGUUGUGAUACACUUUCAACGAGUCGGAUUGUUUGGGAAUGCAGUCCAAAAUGGGUGGUAAAUUUCAUCUAAAGCUAAAUAUUGGCGAGAGACCGAUAGCGAACAAGUACCGUGAGGGAAAGAUGAAAGAACUUUGAAAAGAGAGUUAAACAGUACGUGAAAUUGUCAAAAGGGAAGCGUUUGACACCAGUGUUGUUUUUCCGAAAGUCAAUUACGAAUGUUUUGUUUUUGAGGAGUUAUGACUUCAUCGGCUUGCUUCUCUCUUUAUGAAACUUUCUUAAUGCACUUUUCGGUUAACAAGUCAACAUCAAUUUCUUUUGUUGUAAAAGGGUAUGAGGAAGGUGGCUUUCUUUUCGGAGAAAGUGUUUAUAGCCUUGUAGCCUCUGCAAUCGGAGAGAUUGAGGUCUGCAGCGUAGAUCCUUCGGGGUUAGAUACAGUUUGUGCUAAGUUAUAGCUUUUCAUAGACAACUUGUUGACUAUGUUUAGUCUUGUAGCUUACUCGCUGAUGCUAUUUUACCUACGCUUAGGAUGUUGAGUAGCGACAUACGCAC
rnacentral:rRNA from 1 species